rnacentral:rRNA from 1 species
AUACGUAGGGGGCGAGCGUUGUCCGGAAUGACUGGGCGUAAAGGGCGUGUAGGCGGCCUGAUAAGUUUGGAGUGAAAGUCCUGUUUUCAAGAUGGGAAUUGCUUUGGAUACUGUCGGGCUUGAGUGCAGAAGAGGUAAGCGGAAUUCCCAGUGUAGCGGUGAAAUGCGUAGAGAUUGGGAGGAACACCAGUGGCGAAGGCGGCUUACUGGGCUGUAACUGACGCUGAGGCGCGAAAGCGUGGGGAGCGAACAGGAUUAGAUACCCUGGUAGUCCACACUGUAAACGAUGAAUGCUAGGUGUAAGAGGUAUCGACCCCUUUUGUGCCGGAGUCAACACAAUAAGCAUUCCGCCUGGGGAGUACGGCCGCAAGGUUGAAACUCAAAGGAAUUGGCGGGG